UACGUAGGAGACGAGCGUUGUCCGGAGUUACUGGGCGUAAAGGGUGCGCAGGCGGCCUUGCGCGUCGCGAGUGAAAUCUCCCGGCUCAACUGGGAGGGUGGUCGCGAGACGGCAGGGCUUGAGGCUCGGUGAGGGGCGUGGAAUUCCGGGUGGAGCGGUGAAAUGCGUAGAGAUCGGAAAGAACACCAACGGCGAAAGCACUCUGCUGGGCCGACACUGACACUGAGAGACGAAAGCUAGGGGGGCGAAUGGG
rnacentral:rRNA from 1 species